AAGCGUUGUUGCCACAGUAAUCCUGCUCAGUACGAGAGGAACCGCAGAUUCAGACCUUUGGUUCAUGUGCUUGGCUGAUAAGCCAAUGGUGCGAAGCUACCAUCUGAGGGAUUAUGACUGAACGCCUCUAAGUCAGAAUCCCGCCUGGAAAGCGACGAUGCAUUCGUGCCUCGGCCUCGAGAGGCGUAGCUAGACGGCCGCGUGGCCGUGGAAAGAGCCCGAUUCCGACCCGAGAGGCCGCGGCAAGAGGCGGCCUCGAAGUCGGUGGAUCCUCCUGCUCGAAAGGCGGGGUGCUAAACCAUUCGCAGACGACCUAGUUGAAGAUCGGGGUGUCGUGAUCACUAGAGCAGUACAUCUCACUGCGAUUUGUUGAGAGUAAGCCUCAAGAUCUGUCGGUUUGU
rnacentral:ncRNA from 1 species